UCCUCUGCUCAAUGAUUUUUUAAAUUGCUGUGGUAAUCUGACUAUACAAAGGUAGUGAAAUAUGGUUUUAAAUGGGCGCUAAGUGAAUGGACAAAUGGGGAGAAGCUUUUUUAAAGAAAAAAUUAGAANUUAAUUUAAAAGUUAAAAAGCUUUUAUAUANAAAUGGGACAAGAAGACCCUACGAAUCUUUAAUUNUNUNNUUAUAGAGUGNAAUNNGUANNUAAUUUUANUUGGGGAAANUAAAAAAUAAUAAGAAACUUUAUUAUGAAAGUUAGUGUUAAAAACUAUGGGAAAGAUACUCNAGGGAUAACAGCGUUAUUACUUUGGAGAGUACAUAUUGAUAAAGUAGUUUGCGACCUCGAUGUUGAAAUUAACGGACC
rnacentral:rRNA from 1 species